UACGUAGGGGGCAAGCGUUAUCCGGAUUUACUGGGUGUAAAGGGAGCGUAGACGGCAGUGCAAGUCUGGAGUGAAAGGCGGGGGCUCAACCCCCGGACUGCUCUGGAAACUGUACGGCUGGAGUGCAGGAGAGGUAAGUGGAAUUCCUAGUGUAGCGGUGAAAUGCGUAGAUAUUAGGAGGAACACCAGUGGCGAAGGCGGCUUACUGGACUGUAACUGACGUUGAGGUUCGAAAGCGUGGGUAGCAAACAGG
rnacentral:rRNA from 1 species